GGCUGCAGAAAUUUUAACUGUACAAAGGUAGCAUAAUAAUUUGUUUUUUAAUUAAAAACUAGAAUGAAUGAUUAAAUGAAAUAUAAACUGUUUCAAUUAAAAUAAUAUUAAAAUUUUUAUUUAAGUUAAAAAACUUAAAUAUAUUUAAAAGACGACAAGACCCUAUAGAAUUUUAUUUAUAUUUUAAAUAAAAAUAUUUAUUUAUUUAUUAAAUUUUUUAUAAUAAAUUUAAUUGGGGUAAUUUUAAAAUUAAAAAAAUUUUUUUUAUAAAAAACAUUAAUUAAUGAAUAUUAUAUCUUAAAUUUUAAAUUAUUAAAAUUAAUUACCUUAGGGAUAACAGCAUAAUUUUUUUUAAAAGACCUUAUU
rnacentral:rRNA from 1 species